CGGCCGCAGCGGCGGAUCUGGCGGCUGCUGCAGCCCGGGCGGCUGCGGAGAAGGAGGGAGGGGAAACACAAAGCCGGCUACGCGCUGCGAGAGUUGUCUCCCAGAGCUCCGUGGAAUUUCCUUUCUCUGCUUUAAUGUGCUUUUAAAAGAUAACAAGAGUAAUCCACAGACUUAAAACAUGAGCUCAGAUGCCAGCCAAGGCGUGAUUACCACUCCUCCUCCUCCCAGC
rnacentral:sRNA from 1 species